rnacentral:snRNA from 1 species
AUCGCUUCUCGGCCUUUUGGCUAAGAUCAAGUGAAGAUUCUG